rnacentral:rRNA from 1 species
UACGUAGGGUGCAAGCGUUAUCCGGAAUUAUUGGGCGUAAAGAGCUCGUAGGCGGUUUGUUGCGUCGACUGUGAAAUCCCGCGGCUCAACUGCGGGUCUGCAGUCGAUACGGGCAGGCUAGAGUUCGGUAGGGGAGACUGGAAUUCCUGGUGUAACGGUGAAAUGCGCAGAUAUCAGGAGGAACACCGGUGGCGAAGGCGGGUCUCUGGGCCGAUACUGACGUGAGGAGCGAAAGCGUGGGGAGCGAACAGG